GAACCUGCGGAGGGAUCAUUACUGAGUACUACACUCUCUACCCUUUGUGAACUAUUAUACCUGUUGCUUCGGCGGCGCCCGCAAGGGUGCCCGCCGGUCUCAUCAGAAUCUCUGUUUUCGAACCCGACGAUACUUCUGAGUGUUCUUAGCGAACUGUCAAAACUUUUAACAACGGAUCUCUUGGCUCCAGCAUCGAUGAAGAACGCAGCGAAACGCGAUAUGUAAUGUGAAUUGCAGAAUUCAGUGAAUCAUCGAAUCUUUGAACGCACAUGGCGCCUUCCAGUAUCCUGGGAGGCAUGCCUGUCCGAGCGUCGUUUCAACCCUCGAGCCCCUGUGGCCCGGCGUUGGGGAUCUGCCACGGCAGGCCCCUAAAACCAGUGGCGGACCCGAAGGGCCCUCUCCUUUGCGCAGUAGCAUUCGCCUCGCAUUGGGAGUCCUCGGCGUCCUGCCUCUAAACCCCCCACAAGUCCGCUUCGGCGGCACCAAGGUUGACCUCGGAUCAGGUAGGAAUACCCGCUGAACUUAAGCAUAUCAA
rnacentral:rRNA from 1 species